GUCUCCUUCGUCUAGAGGCCUAGGACACCGCCCUCUCACGGCGGCAACACGGGUUCGACUCCCGUAGGAGACGCCA
rnacentral:tRNA from 1 species